rnacentral:rRNA from 1 species
UACGGGGGGGGCAAGCGUUGUUCGGAAUUACUGGGCGUAAAGCGCGCGUAGGCGGCUUUUCAAGUCAGACGUGAAAUCCUUAGGCUUAACCUGAGAACUGCGUUUGAUACUGUUGAGCUAGAGUGUGGAAGGGGCUACUAGAAUUCCGUGUGUAGCGGUGAAAUGCGUAGAUAUACGGAGGAACACCGGUGGCGAAGGCGGCAUCCUGGACCGGCAUUGACGCUGAGGAGCGAAAGCCAGGGGAGCAAACGGG